ACUCAGAGAAGGAUGAUUUUAGGACAGUGUAUUUUAUUGCUACUCAUUUCAUAUUCUUAUGGACAGUCCCUGACCUCCUCUGAUUCUGUGGUGAAGAGACCUGGAGAGUCGGUCACUCUGUCCUGUACUGUCUCCGGUUUCUCAAUGGGCUACUGGAUGCACUGGAUCCGUCAGAAACCAGGACAAGGACUGGAGUGGAUCGGGCUCAUUGACACUGGCACUGGCACUGCAUUCGCUCAGUCUCUACAGGGCCAGUUCUCCAUCAAUAAAGACACCAAUAAAAACUUGCUGUACCUAGAAGUGAAGAGUCUGAAAGCUGAAGACACGGCAGUUUAUUACUGUGCACGAGAGUCACACUGACACAAUAGACUCCAGAGCUGUACAAAAACUUACACAAGCACGUCCUUGUGAGCUGUAAAUAUUCCCUCAGCAGGAAUCUGCACCCCAGAGACCUUUAUUAUAAACAACAUCAUCCAUUCACACUCAGCACUCAGAUCUUCCUCUUUAUUCCAAUCUCUUCUAGCAGUUAUU